rnacentral:rRNA from 1 species
UCAGGAUGAACGCUAGCGGCGCGCUUAAUGCAUGCAAGUCGAGCGAUGAGGCUCCUUCGGGGGUACAUCAGCGGCAGACGGGUGAGUAACACGUAGGUGACCUACCCUCGAGACGGGGAUAACGGCUGGAAACAGUCGCUAAUACCCGAUAGACUUACCAGGUCAAAGCGGUAAGAAAAGCUACGGUGCUUGGGGAGGGGCCUGCGGCCCAUCAGCUAGUUGGUAGGGUAACGGCCUACCAAGGCGAAGACGGGUAGGGGGUGUGAGAGCACGAGCCCCCACAAUGGGACUGCGACACGGCCCAUACUCCUACGGGAGGCAGCAGCAGGGAAUAUUGCACAAUGGACGGAAGUCUGAUGCAGCGACGCCGCGUGAGUGAAGACGGCCUUCGGGUUGUAAAGCUCUUUUACGGGGGACGAGGAAGGACGGUACCCUGGGAAGAAGUGUCGGCUAACUACGUGCCAGCAGCCGCGGUAAGACGUAGGACACAAGCGUUAUCCGGAGUUACUGGGCGUAAAGCGCCUGCAGGCGGCCUGGUAAGUUGGACGUGAAAGCCCCGUGCUUAACGCGGGGAGGUCGGACAAUACUGCCAAGCUAGAGUGCGUCAGAGGGGAGUGGAAUUUCCGGAGUAGCGGUAAAAUGCGCAGAUAUCGGAAGGAACACCAGUGGCGAAAGCGAGUCCCUGGGGCGCGACUGACGCUGAGAGGCGAAAGCUAGGGGAGCGAACAGGAUUAGAGACCCUGGUAGUCCUAGCCCUAAACGAUGGAUGCUAGGUGUGGGACGUAAAGUUCCGUGCCGGAGCCAACGCGAUAAGCAUCCCGCCUGGGGACUACGGUCGCAAGGCUAAAAC